rnacentral:lncRNA from 1 species
GUUUGGUUGCAAUAAAUUGUUAGGUACAUUAAACAGUGGGAUUUAUUGCUAGCCGUUAGAUUAAGUUAUUUUUGGAUGAAUCGGAUGGCUGUCGUUUAGAACAGUACAUUUACACCAAAAACGUAACGUAGAUAUUAAUGAGCUGCUGCUUCUCAUCUUCUUUCUUCUCUUUAAGUAGCUAACGUCCGGCGACUGAAUCUUCCGGUAAUGAAUUGAGGAGACCUAGAUUAAGCUUUUAUAGUAACCAUUGAAUUAGUGAUAGUAAAAUUAAUCUGAUGAUUCUUGUUAAAGCAAGUACAAAUCGUGGUCAGUGGUUUUAUGGACAACAUCAUUGAUGAUGUGGUCAGGUUCGUGGUGGUGCUGAGAAUAGAACUGUGGUCAGGGUUGUGAUGGUGUGAGAAAUAUUGUAGUUAGGGUCUUGGUGGCGUGAGAAGUGUGAGUAGGAGAACAGUGGUCAGUGGUUUUGUGGAGUCGUGGCCAUCAGAAGUGUGGUUGGGUGGGGCUUGGUCAGUAGAAGUGAGAGUGUUUUGGCUGGGGUGAAGAGAAGGUCCACCGUCGUAAGAGAAAUGGUGUUGGAUAUUGGAUUACUGAUGUGUGACUUCAUUGAUGAUAUGGUCAGGGUCGUGGUGGUGAUGAGAAUGGAACCAUGGGAGUGGAGCUUUAAAAGAAACGAGAAGUUGUUGACUUGAUCUCCGAUUCUCUUUAUAUCUUCUUCUCCAUCCGGCCAGUUUUUUGAAUGUAUUAAUAGAACCAAAUAGGAUAUAUCUAAUGAAUGAAAUCAUGAAAGAGUUCAAAGCGGUGUAUAACAAGAUAGAUCUAAUGAAUGAAAUUAUGGAAUUCAGAGCAGUGUAUAACAAGAUGAUGAACACAUAUAUAGUUCGUAGUUGUGAUGUAGGUGGUGAAGAAAAGAGAGAAAGAGAGAUAGAAAUUGACAAUGGAGAGGAAGAACAAAUGCGGCAUACUAGGGUUUCUGAUUUUUUUAUUUUCUGUAAAAAGUAAAUUUAAGUUAAUUGUAAAAUAGAUGUUAACUUGGUUUGUUUAGUUAGAAGGGCUUUUUGGGUAAAAUACAUGUGAAAAGUAUGUGUCAAGUUAAAAGUAUGUUAGAAUGUAAAAGGAGAGAGAAAAAGUAUACG